rnacentral:tRNA from 1 species
GGGCGGUUGGCGCCGUUGUAGCGCACUUCCCUGACACGGAAGGGGUCACAAGUUCGAAUCUUGUAUCGCCCA